rnacentral:rRNA from 1 species
CGUGAGUGAAGAAGGCCUUUGGGUCGUAAAGCUCUGUCAACUGGGAAGAAGUUAUGGUUUUCGAACAGGAUUCCAUAUUGACGGUACCAGUGGAGGAAGCGCCGGCUAACUCCGUGCCAGCAGCCGCGGUAACACGGGGGGCGCAAGCGUUAUUCGGAAUUAUUGGGCGUAAAGGGCGCGUAGGCGGUCUUAUCGGUCAGAUGUGAAAGCCCAGGGCUCAACCCUGGACGUGCAUUUGAAACAGUAAGACUUGAGUACGGGAGAGGAAAGCGGAAUUCCUGGUGUAGAGGUGAAAUUCGUAGAUAUCAGGAGGAACACCGAUGGCGAAGGCAGCUUUCUGGACCGAUACUGACGCUGAGGCGCGAAGGCGUGGGUAGCGAACGGGAUUAGAUACCCCGGUAGUCCACGCAGUAAACGAUGUACACUAGGUGUAGCGGGUAUUAAAACUUGCUGUGCCGGAGC